UCUGGUUCGAGUCCAGGAUGGCCCACCUUCCCAAACAUGCUCAGAAUUUUCUGAAUUCGGUUUUUGAAAUUCCAAAGUCGUUUUGAGUUAUCAAAAUCACUUUCACCUGGUCUUUCAAUUUCCGAGCCCAACUGAAGCAAUUAACAUCAGUCCAGCAUCUUCCGCCACAAAGAAGACUGCUGAACUGAAGUUCAGCCAGAACCUUGAAAACUGCAA
rnacentral:misc_RNA from 1 species